rnacentral:lncRNA from 10 species
UAGAAAGUCAGUCCUUCCUGUCUCCCUUCCUUAUCCCCAGGCUGCUUCCACUCAUGGCAGAAGGGGAGGAAGGGAAGCUAGCAUGCAGACUUAUAUGGUGAAAGAGAAGGAGGGGCCAGUCUCUUCUCAACAACCAGUUUUCAUGGGAACUAAGAGUGAGAACUCACUGCUGUGAGAAUGGCACCAAGCCAAACACCUUCCUCUUGGCCCCACCUCCAACACUGGGGAUCACAUUUCAACAUGAGAUUUAGUGAGGCCAAACAAACCAUGUCCAAACCAUAUAAUCCACCCAUUUAACAGUAUGUACAAUUCAAUGGUUUUUUAGUACAUUCACAGGUGUGUGCAACCAUCAUCAUAGUCAAUUUUAGAAUAUUUUCAUUAUCUCAAAAGAAAGAAAUCCUGUACCUUUUAGCUAUUACUCCUCUAUCCUCCAACCACUGCCCCCCAGCCAUAAGCAAGCAGAAAUCUACUUCCUGUUUCUCUAGAGACCCCAUUCUGGACUUUUAUAAGAAUGGAAUUAUACAGUAUAUUGUCACUCGUGACUGGCUCCUUUUACCGCACAUCAUAUUUUCAAGGAUUAUCCAUUUUGCAGUGUGUAUCAGUAGUUCAUUCCUUUCACACUGCUCUUGAUGGGGGUGAGCAGGCUGAGUGUAGCUCCAUGGAGUGGAGGAAUAGCUAUAGAGACCUCCAAGUCCAGGCUCAUGAAGAAUCUUGCUUUGUACCCAGGCUUGGCAUGGUUCAUUUCAGAUAAUUUCACUCACUUCCUCCUUAGGUGGUUGGUAAACUAGAGACCAAUGUCUUCCCUUGACUGUUAUUAGACUGGUGCACAUGGUCUUUGUACUCAGCAGACAGGCUUCUCUGCCUGAGGCCACCAUCAUCUUGUUCUUUCGAAAGGACGUCUAUUGCUUCCAGGUGUUCUGAAUGCCCUUAUUCCUGCUGUAAACUCAUGCUGACCACGGAGAGCAAGCAAAGGCACUUAUUUGCAUCCUCUGCACAUUUGUGAAGGAGCUUCUGUGGGGUUCUGUCUGAGCUCUAAAUUCUUCCUGGAAGUUUUGGAUAAGGAAACAUUCUUGACAUCCUUGCACUUGGACACAGUACUGCUGAUGCUGUAACUGAAGUUUUAAACUGGUAAUAGGUUGGCCUGGACUUUUUGUUAAUUGAAAGUGACCACAAAUCCAUAAGAUUUGUUCAAAUGUCAUUAUGGGUCAGGAAGAAGAGAUUUGGAAGAAUUUGUCUGAAGAUAAGCAAUUGGACAAAAAACCCCACAAAACCAUCUUAUGUUUACGCCCUGCUGACUUCAGACUGUUCAAUACAAUGAUUACACAUUUAAGAACAUAGAGGCAUACAUCCCAUAUAAAUUUUAGUGUUAGUAUUCAAUUCAGUAGUAUAUUAAAAGAAUACUACAUUAUGACCAAGUCAGCUUUACUACAGGAAUGUAAAGGUGGCUCUUUAUGAACAAGUGCAUUAAUGCAGUUUGUCACAGCAAGAGGUCAAAAGAAAAUUUUUGGCAGUAGUUUGGAAACCUGUUCACACAAGACAUUUUUAUUUCCUUAGCAUGGGUGCCACACAGAAACCAAUAGAACAAACGCCAUACUUGUUUGGGAUGGCUAUUUAUGCUGCUUUGAUAGACUUAUCCUUAGAGAAACUAUCUUGUUUGUUUGUGUUGCUAAAAGGAAUACCCAAAGCUGGGUAAUUUAUAAAGAAAGAUUUAUUUGGCUUAUGGUUCUACAGGCUGUACAAGAAGCUUAUCUGCUUCUGGUAAGGGCCUCAAGCUGCUUCCCCUCAUGGCAGAAGGAGAAGGGGAGCCUGAGUGUACAGAGAUCACAUGGCCAGAGAGGAAGCAAGACAGAGGGGAGGGAGGUGCCAGGCUCUCUUUAACAACCAGUUCUGGUAGGGACUGGUAGAGUGAAAAUUCACUAUUGCAAGAACUUCAUCAAGCCAUUCAUGAAGGAUCCACCCCUAUGACCUAAGCACCUCCCAUUGGGACCCACCUCCAACAUUGGGGAUCAAAUUUCAACAUGAGGUUUGGCAGGAAUUACACAAAAAUGAUGCUGGGUGCUCUCCAUGUGCUCUAUCAGGAAGUGCACAAUGCCAACCCAUCACACUAUUGUUGACUUAAUUUUAAUCUUCUCCUCCAACUUUCUCCACUGUGAAGGCACCAUUUUCAUUAUGCCAGUUUCAGAGCAUGUCCCCACAAAUUAAAUCAUAAAAUUAAAUCAUAAUUUAAUCCCUUUUGGAGGGAGUAAGACAUUUAGGAUUUAAUUUUGUGCUAAAGAAUAAUAAUACAAAAAUAGCUAUCAUUUAAUGACCAUUUAUUAUGUGCAAGGCACUGUGCUAUGCACUUUAUGCAUCUUAGUUGAAUGCUCAAACCCUUGAAUUAUGUACCAUUAUUAUUCCCUGUUACAGAUGAAGAAAAUGAGCCAACUGCAGUGAUGGAUUUGAAGCAGGAUAGAUUAUAUGCUACCUAUUCAGUCUUCUUGAGUACUAUUUUUUCCCCCAUUUAGUAAAAAAAAAAAAAAAAAGAAAAGAAACUGUAAAAGAAAUUAGCCAAGGAGGCUGGAUGCAGUGGCUCAUGCCUAUAAUCCCAGUACUGUGGGAGGCCGAGGUGGGUGGAUUACCUGAGGUUAGACAUUGGAGACCAGUCUGGCCAACAUGGCAAAACUCCUCCUCUACUAAAAAAAAAUACAAAAAUUAGCCGAGUGCGGUGGCUCAUGCCUGUAAUCCCAGCACUUUGGGAGGCCGAGGUGGG